UUAAAUGAAAUUGUAGGUAGCAACAAUAAUGCCUUUGAAAAAGGCCUACACUGAGAAUAAUUUUAUGGACAUAGUUAAGUUUUUGCCAACUAAAAACAAGAACUACAUAUUAUUCUUACCAACUGAAGAGUUGUUGUAGAUAAAGGCAUAUAGUCUUCCGUAGACUCUAAUACCCAUGACAGACGGCGCGUUAAUUCGGAAUAACUGCAUUAAUCGGGGUUAAUUCGAGAGUUAUCUCAGUUAACUCGGUUUACUAACUCCCAUUUAAUCCUCAAAAUUUUAGAGAGUAAGAGGGAGUUCGUGUCAUUUUCGUUGGUAACAUUGUUAAACAUGGCCGCUUUUUAUCUAUUGUGAAUGAAAAUAUGCAAUACUGACAGAUGUUUUUCAAUUAAAUGUAAACAAAAACAUACGCAUGCUAAUUUUUUCUAAAAUGGAAGUUUUAAUAAUAACGUAUUUAUGUACAUUUUUUUAAUAAUUAGUGAUUUUGUACUAUUUGUGCGGCUAAUAACCGCAAUAUUUCCUUUCUAUCCAAUUUUAUUUCACCAAAAUGGAAAUAUUAUUGCCAAUCAGCUGUUAUAGGAGUUUAUAACUCGCUUUGCUGCCGUCUGUCACCCACAAAAUUGGAACUGAUUAAAAGCGCAGUUAAUCCGAGUUAACUCUGCCGUCUGUCUAGCGUAUUACGAGGUCAAAGAUGCUCUUAAAAAAUGCGGCUUUGAAAUUAAAACUUCAACAAAUAUCUUCAACAGAAAUAGAGUACCACAACCCAUGUUUAGAAUUGAAUUGAUGCCGAAUUCUAACCGACUUAAAAAAAACGAAACGCAUCCUAUAUAUAACUUAAAAUAUUUGUUACACCGUAGAGUAACCGUUGAAGAACCACACAAAAAAAUGGUCCGGUACAAUGCACCAAUUGCCAAGAGUAUGGGCAUACCAAAUCAUUUUGCACUCUACGCAGUGUUUGUGUGGUAUGUGGAGAUUUAUAUCCCACUUCCAAAUGCACAAAUAAGAAAGAGAAUUUAACUAAACAAUGCAGCAAUUGUAGAGAAAAUCACACCGCCAACUAUAGGGGUUGUCCUGUAGACAAAGAUUUAAAAUUGAAGCUAUUAAAGGGAAUUCAAGCACGUCGUAACCAAAUAUUACAUACACCCUGUAAUGAAAUUAUAGAUAUCACAAAGAUCAGUAAAAAAUGAGCAUACUAAGCAUUUGCAUGUGGAAUGCUAACGGGGUUAACAAACAUAAACUAGAGAUUGUUAGAUUUCUGUCUGAAAAAAUAUAGAUGUAAUGCUAAUAUUCUGAUAAUUUGACAAAAACAAAUAACUUCAAAUAAAAAAUAUAGAUGUAAUGCUAAUAUCAGAGAAACUCAUCUAACAAACACAAAUAACUGCAACAUACCCGGAUAUAGACUUUAUGGUUAGGAAUCAACUUAACCACUAUGCUCUGGAAUCUUAUUCUACAGCCCAGUUACAAGCUACAACUAUAUCAUUAAAAAAUCGGGGUUGUGAUUUAAAUCUAACGGCUAUAUACUGCCCACCUCGUUUUAAAAUUACAGAUAGUGAAUUUAAAGACUUUUUUGGAACACUAGGUCAUAGAUUCCUAGCAGGUGGAGAUUACAAUGCAAAACACAUGUAUUGGGCAUCGCGUCUAAUUAACCCCAAAGGAAGACAGCUGUACAACACUAUUAUCAAGUACAAUAAUCUUGAUAUAAUAUCUCCUGGCAUGCCAACAUACUGGCCCAGUGAUCGUAACAAAAUACCAGAUUUAAUUGAUUUCGCUGUAAUUCGGUGUUUUACGCUGUAAUCAAAAAUAUAGAUAGAUCAAAGAAUGAAAAACGAUAUAGUGACGCGCUCACGACCCCCGAAUGGGAAUAGGCAACAAUUUUUUUGUUGGUUGAAACGCCUUUAUUAACGACUUUUUUGUACUAAUGCUGUUUAAUUCCGCAACUAUAUAUAUAUAUAUAUAUAUAUAUUUGGCAUAGGUACCGCUUUAAGCGAUUAUAGCCGAAUCCACCAGAGUGCGCCACUCAUUCCUCCUUUUUGCUUUUUGUCGCCAACUGGACACCAAGUGAUGCCAGGUCACUUUGCACUUGGUCUUUCCACCGGAGUGGAGGUCGUCCUCUUCCGCGGCUUCCUCCAGCGGUUACUGCAUCGAAUACUUUCAGAGCUGGAAUGUUUCCAUCCAUUCGUACAACAUGAACUAGACAGCGUAGCCGCUGUCUUUUUAUUCGCUGAACUUUGUCAAUGUCGUCGUAUAAAUCGUACAGCUUAUCGUUCCAUCGUCUGCGGUAUUCGCUGUUGCCAAUGUUCAGAGGACCAUAAAUCUUACGCAAAACCUUUCUCUCAAAAACCCCAAGAGUCGUCUCAUCGGAUGUUGUCAUCGUCCACGCUUCGGCGCCAUACAUCAGGACGAGAAUAAUGAGCGACUUGUAGAGUUUGAUUUUGGUUCGUUGAGAGAGGACUUUACUUUUCAAUUGCCUACUCAGUCCAAAGUAGCACCUGUUGGCAAGAGUGAUUCUGCGUUGGAUUUCGAGGCUGACAUUGUUGGUGUUGUUAACGCUGGUUCCCAAUUAGACGAAACUAUUUACUACUUCAAAUGUAUGACUGUCAACAGUGACGUGGGAGCCAAGACGCGAGUGCGCUGACUGUUUAUUUGAUAGCAGGAGAUAUUUCGUCUUGUCCUCAUUCACCACCAGAACCAUACGCUUCGCUUCCUUAUCCAGGCAGGAAAAAGCAGAACUAACGGCGCGGUUGUUGCUUCCGAUGAUAUCAAUAUCAUCGGCAUACGCCAACAGCUGUACACUUCUCUAUUUAGCUCUGCAGCUCGUAUUAUUCUUUCCAGUAAAAGAUUGAAGAAGUCGCACGAUAGUAAGUCACCCUGUCUGAAGCAUCAUUUGGUAUCGAACGGUUCGGAGAGGUCCUUCCCGAUCCUGACGGAGCUUUUGGUGUUGCUCAAAGUCAGUUUACAUAGCCGUAUUAGUUUUGCAGAGAUACCAAAUUCAGACAUCGCGGCAUAAAGGCAGCUCCUUUUCGUGCUAUCGAAGGCAGCUUUAAAAUCGAUGAAAAGAUGGUGAGUAUCGAUUCUUCUCUCUCGGGUAUUUUCCAAGAUUUGGCGCAUAGUGAAUAUCUGGUCCAUUGUCGAUUUUCCAGGUCUAAAGCCACACUGAUAAGGUCCAAUCACUUCGUUGACGGUGGGCUUUAGUCUUUCACACAAUACGCUCGACAAAACCUUAUGUGCGAUAUUGAGGAGACUUAUACCACGGUAAUUGGCGCAGAUUGUGGGGUCUCUCUUUUUAUGGAUUGGGCAGAACACACCGAGAUUCCAAACGUCGGGCAUGCUUUCUUCCGACCAUAUUCUACAAAGAAGCUGAUGCAUGCACCUAAUCAGUUCUUCGCCGCCGUAUUUGAAUAGCUCGGCCGGUAAUCCAUCGGCCCCGCCUCUUUGUUGUUCUUCAAGCGGGUAAUUGCUAUUCAAAUUUCUUUAUGGUCGAAUAAUGGAAUAUAUAUUCCAUCGUCAUCGAUUGGGGAAUCGGACUCACUAUCUCCUGGUGUUGUAUUUUCACUGCCAUUCAGCAGGUCGGAGAAGUGUUCCCUCCAUAAUCCCAGUAUGCUCUGGAAAUUCGUUACCAGAUUCCCUCCUCGGUACCCACUUGAAACCUUCUGUAAAUCGCUUCAUCUUUUCAUAAAAAUUUCGAGAAUUACCCAUGUCGGCCAGAUUUUCAAGCUUUUCAUACUCAAGCAUUUCGGCCUCCUUCUUUUUACGUCUGCAAAUGCGUCUCGCUUCCCUCUUCAGUUCUCGAUAUCUAUCCCACACCGAACGUGUUGUGGUCGAUCGCAACGUUGCGAGGUAGGUAGUCCGUUUUCUCUCCACCGCGGAACGACAACUCUCAUCGUACCAACUGGUUUUUUGGCGUUGCCGAAGACCAAUUGUUUCGGCUGCAGCGGUAUGCAAUGAGUUCCACAGCUCCCUUAUAUCGAGAUGCUGAUGAGUGCUCUCAGAGAGCAGGAGUGCAAGUCGAGUAGAAAAUCGUUCGGCUGUCGGUUGUGAUUGCAGCUUUUCGACGUCGAACCUUCCUUGUGUUUGUUGACGGGCGUUCUUUGCUGCACAGAGGCGGGUGCGUAUCUUUGCUGGUACUAGAUAAUGGUCCGAGUCAAUAUUUGGUUCUCGGUGUGUACGCACGUCUAAAACACAGGAGACAUGUCUUCCGUCUAUCACAACGAGAUAGAUUUGAUGCCAGGACUCGGCGAUGGAGUCUCUCUCGCACCACAAAUCCAACACCAAAGUUGCGCUCCUUUAUAUGGCCGCUGUAGUAAAUGUCACAAGGACCCACCUUCUUCCGUCCUUGUUCCAUCCAUCGCACUUCUUGGAUGGCGGUGAUGUCAGCCUUUAGUUGUAUGAGGACAUCAAGCAGCAGGGCAGAGACACCUUCCCAAUUAAGGGUCCGGACAUUCCAGGUGCAUGCCUUCAAAUCGUGAUCCUUAAAACGUUUGCAGGGGUCGUCAUCAAAAGUGGGGUUUCUCUUCCGAGGGUCUGAUUGGAUAUAUGGUCUAAAACCGGAAGUCUUGAGCUGCUUGUGUCAUAUGCAAAAGAAUCGUUCCUGGCCACUCCCAAGUGAAUGGCAAUCAGAAACUUUCCUCACUUGCGAGAACUUCUACAUAUGUCCCCAUUCCCCAUUGCGGACUUCCUUUUCAAGUUAAUAAAUUUUUCCAUUAGAAUUUCCACUCAACAGGAAAUUAAAACGCAAAAAAGGUAACUUUAAACGAAUGGCAUAAUCUUGUCUUCUAUCAUCAAAGAACAUAUAAUAAUAAGAAGGAGCAAAUGUUAGCUCGCAUCUUUUUGAGUGCGAAAAUAUAAUGGAACAUUGAAAACUCGCCACUUCGAAAGGAAAAAGUACACCACAACAUCAGGGAACUGGGAAUAAUGAUACAAACAGACGCAAGAGAUCUGAACAAAACACUGACUAAGGCGCGCUGAUUGCCACUUUCGACAUGGCGGAGGUGGUAAGCGCGAAGUAGUUAACGAAAUGCGGUCCCGAGCAUUUACGUUCGAAUUCUGUAAUACUGAAACUUUGUCAAUAAUUUUUUUUUUUUUUUAAGUUUUUGCUGAUCAGCGUUCAUAUAGUAAUUUUAAUUGCAUAUUUUUUUAUUUUAAUAAUAAUAAUAUUUCUUGAAAAUAUUUGCUCAUCUGUCAAAAAUUAAGCAAAACGUUUAUGCCUAUGAACGCAAAUCAAAUUCACGCAUACAUUCAUCAAUACACAUACGCUUGUCGUCACUUUUGCUUUUAUGCGAGUACAGUUGAAGAAGCAAGUACGAUGGUCGUUCGCAAGGAAGGGUCGGCGGUGCAGUAGCCCUUGAUUUUGAAUAAUUUAUGUAUAUUAAUGAAUUAUUAUAUUGCAAAUUGUACAAAAUUUCAAAAUUAGUAUAAAUAUAUUCAUAUUUACUUAAAUAAUCCCUCCAUAUAUCAAUAUUUAGCAAUAGAAAUCAAGUGCAAUCAUUAUUAGGCAACCCUCCAUCAAAGCGCCUCUGUACAUGUGUUGUCUCAAAGAGGUAACGGAGAUUUUGCGCGAAGGCGAAGACACAACAUUGUGUAGUUGUUGUGUUGUUACAAACCGUUGAAAAUAAACAAAUAAUCGCUUCCCUUACCCCUAACAACUUUGCACUUAAACGUACAAAUGAGCUCGCAUACAUAUUGACGUUGAAAAAAUGUUUCAAAUCUACAAUCUAACGACAAUGUCGGCUAUGUUUUCACAUUCGUUUCUUUCGCAGGGAUUUGUUCCUGAAUAAUGACAUAGGCUAUUUUUGUAGUAAUGCAAAGUUCGCUUUGCCUGCAAUGCUUGUCAUCGAGUUUCAGCUAAAAUAGGUUAACUCAAAAAUGAUUGGACUGAAGAAUCUUGUGAGUCUGUAAAGAGCAAAUUCGUGAAGAAAUAACUUGUGGACGGCUUAAAUAUGCGGGGAAUGGUAGUAUUAACAAUUCUGCAUCGUCACCGUACUGAAACGACUUUUAGUUGACCAGGCGCGCAGAAAACGAGUGCGACGCUGAUUUGCGAAUCCAUGAACUUGCUUUGUCGAAGAAGUGCGUUCCUUAUGAAUGAAAUUGUUUUUGUUGUAGCAUAAAACAUUUAAAAUGUUCUAACUAGAAUAUAAAUGUAGCGCAAGCGCAAAUAUUGACCAAUCAGGAAGCGCUUACGUUUGUGGAACUUGCGCGAUUUUUUCAUUUUUUGCAAAUAAUCGUUAGAAUGAAUUGUGAGGAAUAUAUGUUUGUACAUCUCUUUAGGUAUUAGAAAAAAAUAAGGAAUUCAGUAUAAUAUUUACAUACAUACUUAGAGUAAAGACAACUGAAAAAUAUUAUGAUCAGUGGACCCGUUCGUAUAGGACAACUUUAUGUUUCAACUUGAAAUAUUUUGCCGAAGUUCAAAUCCCAACCGAAAUUCUACAAUUUUCUUUUUAUAUUUUAUGUUUUUUUUUAUUUUACUUUAUUUCAAAUAUAAUUUUUAGUACCUUGAUUAUUUUUAUAUUCGCCCCAUAAGUUAAUUGCUUUUUGUUAUAAAUAUUUCUAAAAUUCCCUCAUGUCCAAGAUCAGCUGCGCAAGCAAUCUCUCCCACGUUCCUUUAUAAUGUGGCAAACACUUGGUUGGUUCCCUUAUCGAGUGGUAAACAUUACCCUACAAGACGGAGCUAACUCAUACACCACUACACAUGCAAAGUUUUUCAGCUUUUACCAACACAUACGCAAUAGUAACUUUUUGUAGUUAAAUGGCAAUCUCGGUAGUUAGAGUGGCAACAUUCAUUAACCCAAAUUUUUGUAUGUAUAAGAGAGAGAUGCACGUACUACAAUGAACCGAUCAAAAAAAAUUUGAAGUGAGUGGGUGUAAAUCGAUACUAUGGUUGACUGGAUGCUGUAACUUAUUUUAGAGAAAAUGGUCUCGGAAGGCAAAGUAAGCUGCAACGCACAUCUGGUGCGUACAUGCAAAAUUAAAAAGAGAAGCAGAACAAGGAUUAUGCCACUUUAGGCAGAUGGCUUAAGCUGAAUACCACCCAUAUACUCCCAUAGAGGAAGGAAGCUAUACUUGGUAUGGGUGCGGGGAAUUCUACCAGCAGAUCUUCAAGACAUACAACGGCAAUCGCUCACCAAUCGUACAUUACAAAUUCGACGUAUGAUGGAAGAAGCAUUCGUAGUCCUUGGUGUCAGAAAGCAAUAAAAAUCAUGCACCUAGAAAUACAACACAAAAUAUGCUACAACGACAGAGUUGGUAUUAAUACUUCCCAUGCUUAUAAUAUUGGUUGAUAAUCCCCAAGUGGUGUAACAAGUGUAGCAGCAACAACAAGUAAUACAUAUUCAAAUUCACAAUAAAAGUAAAAUCGCACAACGCAACAGGUAAAUAACAAGACAUCGGAUGAUGUGCUACAAAUUACAUCGGACUUUUGGAGUAGCACUUUAAACACUUUUUUUCGAGGUGCUAAACACAGUAUCUCCUAUAAUGCCCUUGGAUAUACACAAUGGAUAAUUAACAGAGCUCUAAAAACAACAUUGAGGCGCCGAAGUUGUUCAUCUUGCUUCUGAUUUGGUUAUGGAGGCAUUAUUAGUCUGAACUUACAAUUUAUCAUUUUCAAUAUUGUGAUUGUAAAUUUAUAAAUUUUGAACGUUCGCAAUAGCACUUUAUUUAUUAAUAUAAAUGUAAAAUAUUGUUAUUGGCAUCUAUAUAGAAAUGACUGUACGAAUAUAUGUAAAUUAUAAAAAUUUAAUAAUUAAUACUAACUUUAUAUGUAAAAUAUGUAAAUUUUGUCAAUGUAUAAAUGAUAGCCGCAAAAACGUUUGUAAAAAUGAAAGUUUACUUUCUACUGAAAUGCUAAUAUUUAAAAAUUAAUCUAUAAUAAUUAUUCAAAAAGUAAAAUACCAUACUAAUUUAUAACUGUAAAUGCCUCAUACAAUUAAAUAAAUAAAAAUAAAACAAUGGAGACCAAUGAACCAAUUUUAAGUACCGAAAUGGUGACCCAACAAAUGACCAAUACCUCUGAUUAGAAGGUUACCCUGAAAAUGAUUAAUCGAACAGUAUCCACCCUGCAAGACAGGUA